CCCCGCCACAUUUCAUCCAUCCCCGCCCCCAACAGUUGAAUGCGGAUCCCCCCCAAAUUAUAAUGGACCCCCCCCCAGUUAAAGGACCCCCCCCAGUUCAGUUACCCCCCCCAAUUAAUGGACCCCCCCCAAAUUAAAAUGGACCCCCCCCAAUUAAGGGACCCCCCCCCUCCCACCCGCCCAUAACGCACCAUCUGGGGGGGGGGGUCAAAAGGGACCACCAUCCCCCCCCCCCAUUUAUAUAAGGGUCCGUCCUGCUUUGCACGAGGAAACCCUCGUGCAAGAGCCUGGUGCAAGGGUUGCAUGUAAUAACUCCCCUUGUGCAAGAGAUUGGUGCUAGAGUUUCUCUUGUGCAAGAGGAGAUUGGUGCUAGAGUUGCAUUUAACAGCCAUCCUCGUGCAAGGGAUUGGUGCAAGAGCAGCCCUUGUGCAAGAGAAAUCCUCGUGCAAGAUAAUGGUGCAAGAUCUGCAUGCAAUAACCUCCCUCGUGCAAGGUAAUGGUGAUUUAACAACUGCCCUCGUGCAAGGGAUUGGUGCAAGAGCAGCCCUCGUGCAAGAGACAUCCUCAUGCAAGGAAAAUCCUCGUGCAAGAGACAUCCUCGUGCAAGGAAAUCAUUGUACAAGAGAGAUCCUCGUGCAAGAGAGAUCAUCGUGCAAGAUAAUGGUGCUAGAUGUGCAUGCAAUAACUCCCCUCGUGCAAGAUAAUGGUGCUAGAGUUUCCCUUGUGCAAGAGAUACACUUGUGCAAGAGGAGACUGGUGCUAGGGUUGCAUGCAAUAACUCCCCUCGUGCAAGAGACAUCCUCGUGCAAGAUAAUGGUGCUAGAUCUGCAUGCAAUAACCCCCCUCGUGCAAGAUAAUGGUGCAAGAGCUGCAUGCAAUAACCCCCCUUGUGCAAGAUAA
rnacentral:lncRNA from 1 species